CAGACCAAAGGGCGCGAGAAGGAGACUAGGAGAAGAACAUCGUAGGUAAGAGUGAAACGGCAACGCGGAGAAAAAGAGGUAACAGGGGCAAGAAGAGAGGACCAAACUACGAAAGACGAACGGUCUAAGACCCAGCUGAGUUGGUGUAGAGAAUAGGCGGCGUCGAAAAAGCGAGAUAGAGUUCGAGAGGUCUGUAUCUCUGCGUACGACAGAGCGAGACGAUGCUAGGGAAGCUCUCGGCAAGGGGGACAAAGACAUCGCUAGAAACAGCUGACUACCGGAAUUCGUGGUUCCGGAGGGGACGACGUGAGGGACCUCGAGGAACUGUUGUUACCAGGACUCGAUGCCGGGUCGCCGCCUACGAGACCACCGUAGCUACCAACCCGCGUCCCUUCUGGAGUGCACGCCGAAGGACGGACCACCGAAUUGCUCUGACUGUUCGACCCCGAGGUCGCUGACUGCCAAACGUCCUUGACGGCCGCGGCUGCCAUCACCGCAGCGUAACCAUUCUGAUGCGCCGAUGCUUGAUCUUGUUGCUUACAGUCCUUGGUUGCUGUGGUCGAAUAGGAAGAGGUGGUGUGUCCGGUCGCCUCCGGUGUCGAGGAGUAAAGUUUGCAGGCCGUCGCGACGCUCGCGUCGUACGGCGAAUCUUGAGGUGGUCUCGUGUUCGUACCUCCGCCUGGAUGUAUGCCCAACGACGAGGACGUGUGAUGAUGAUGCUGCGUAGAUGCGUAAGGUGACAUACCCAGACCGAGAGGGAAACCUCGAUAGGCCGCGGCUGUGGCGGGAUCAUGAUGUUGACUGGCGGCUCCUGUCUGAUGGUGGUGACUUCCGUAGAAGCCACCCGCAGUCUGCUCAAACCACCGAAACUAGAUAAGAAAACGACGAAGAUCCACCGGAUCGGAAGAAGCACGAAGAGAAGUCGAGGAGAGGAUCGCCGAGACGCGAGGAAAUAAAAGGGUCGAAAACGGCGGAUAACCGAUGGCAUCGGAAAGAGACGAAUACACGUUGCCGCUACGUUGGGGUGUAAGAG
rnacentral:misc_RNA from 1 species